CCUGGAGACUGACUGACAGCAGUAACAGGACCAAGGCAGGGAGGAGGAAGUCAGGUGAGAUCUGGUCACCAGAGGGCAGGCUGUGAGCGGCUGAGAUGCCUUCCCAGGGAGCUGGGAAGGGGUAGAACCACUUCUGACCUGAGGCUCUGGGUCCCCAGCGGUUGCCUCCUGUUCCAUUAGACUUCCCCUUACAAAACACGAAUUCAAUGAAAUUAUUAAAAAUGUCUUCAAGACAGUGACCACAGAGCCCCUUUGGAGAGUGGGGUCCUGUGUAGAUAUGCUGCCCCACACCCACCAUAAUGCCUUCUACCGCGUCAUUUGCCUGUUCUUCCUUCCAGUUGUCCUUGAAAUGACAUUCAGAUUAGAAGUCAUCCUAACAGGAAACUCAUUUGGGGUAUAACAUAAAUCCCCACCUACCGAGGCUACCUGAACGGGCUUGACAAUAACCUUCUCUUUUUUUUUUUUUUUAAAGUCUUCUUCCAAGAUAUGGGGAUCUUCGUAACCCCACGAUUUGGGCCCGGGAACGGGAGAAUAUAGCUUACAACAGAUUAGCGGACUCAACCUAUACCGAGACCGUGGUAAGAGUGAAUGCUGUUGACAUUAUCAGCGAUUCCUGGAGGAGAAUUUCUUCCUUUUCUUCCUUUUCUUUCUUUCCGGAAUUUAUUUGUUCCCCUGUAUACUUGGCUCUCCUUUAUCCCACUGCUGUUUAUCUCCCUGAAAUAGCUUUGUGUAUCUAACCAUAUUAAAUCCACUUACUUAUUGUUAGUUUAUCUCUGUUGGUAUAUCGAAUGUUUAUUUAUAAGCCACUCAUGUAUCUAAAAUUUACCUGAUAGUUACCUGUCUCUUCUGUUUGCUGGCGUGUAUCCGACUGGGCUGUGCGUAUAUUUGCCAUCCUCAGAUAAUAGAAGUCUCUUUGGUAAAUAUAACUAUUUAGAAGUCCUAAAGAAAGGUUUAGAAUACCUACGAGGCAAAGAAAACAUUCCUCUGUGCCCAGAAAGUACCCUCUAAUGUCCAGAAAAAUGCAUCCCAUGUUGGCGUUGGCUGUGUUUAGGAACGAUGACCAGCUCUGGCAGUGAGUCCUUAUGAGAUUAUUCCGAUGUACCUGUCUGUGGUCUGUGGCUGUGCAAAGCAUCCCAUGAAGAGACACUCUGAGAUGAGCACUGGGAAGCCCAGCUCCGAGCCAGAUGCACCUGUGCAUGCACUUGGCCUCGAGCAUUAUUAGCUGGGAUAUAUCAUGGGACCUCUCAACUUCAGGCCUUCAUCUGUUAAGUGGAAAUAGACAACUCACGGGUGUGUCAUGAAGAUAAAAUGAGGUGAUCAAGGCAAACUCUAGAGUACACAGUAGGCACUCCAUAAGUACCACCUGCCGCUUCCCACUGCCACCUGGUCAAGUCGUAUUUGUCAGCCACCAGCAUCAGCGUGUUGGAAACUUUGGGUGCAAAAUGGACAUCUCGGGGAAUACCUCCUGGCAUGCUGACUCUGUAAAUUCUUUUCACUGUUCCAUGGGGCAUCAUCCCCAGAUGGCUGGCUGUGCCCGGGGAGAAGCCAUCUCCGGGCUGGACACAAACCUGCUCUCACCCCAAGUCCCCCGGCAUGGAGGUAGUAGGGAAGAGAUGUGAUUAUUCGGGCUUCUGCUUAAAUUAUUUUGUGCCUGGGGUAUGUGUUUAUUUGCCUGCAGCGAAUUCAGGAGCAUGAUCAGCGCUCAUGUUCACUCAGUAAGAGUUACCGAGAUUUUCAAAUUGGGCCCAGCAAUUUCUGAGUCUGGAUCUGAGAGGCAGAAAGAGGUCCGGGUUGGGUUUCAGACAUUUAGCUGUCUUCCUUGCAUGUGGGAAGCAUUAGUCCUCAGUGGUUUGGCCCAGGAUGAAGCGUCCUUGUAGGCACCAAAUCUUAUGCAUUUCUGCCCCCCCUCCCCCACCAAGUUAGCCUUCGUUAUUCAUUCACUGACUUACACUGACUUACUCGUGCGACAAGUACGUUUGGGAGCUUUGCUCUUUGUCAACCAUUGGGCUACAGGUGGGGAUAC